rnacentral:tRNA from 1 species
UCCCUGGUAGUCCAGUGGCUAAGACUCUGAGCUCCUAAUGCAGGGGUUCGGGGUUCCAUUCCUGGUCAGGGAA